GAUGAAGAACGUAGCGAAAUGCGAUAAGUAAUGUGAAUUGCAGAAUUCAGUGAAUCAUCGAAUCUUUGAACGCACAUUGCGCCCGCCAGUACUCUGGCGGGCAUGCCUGUCCGAGCGUCAUUACAACCCUCAGGCCCCCGGGCCUGGCGUUGGGGAUCGGCAGAAGCCCCCUGUGGGCACACGCCGUCCCUCAAAUACAGUGGCGGUCCCGCCGCAGCUUCCAUUGCGUAGUAGCUAACACCUCGCAACUGGAGAGCGGCGCGGCCAUGCCGUAAAACACCCAACUUCUGAAUGUUGACCUCGAAUCAGGUAGGAAUACCCGCUGAACUUAAGCAUAUCAAUAAGCGGAGGA
rnacentral:misc_RNA from 1 species